AUGCAGCUUCCUGGAGAGAGAAAUAGGAUUACACAAUCAGAGUGUGCUGGUGGAGGUAGGAAAGCAGAGGAUGAGCUGGGCUCACAUGAACUCCACAUUCCUUGUUUGCAGGGUGGUUUUACCAGAAAAUAUGCAGAGAAAAUGAGUUUCCAGAGUGUUCUAAUAAAUGAUGGGAAAUGGCUCACAGCUUCACUUUUGUUGUCCAAAACGGAAAAGAGAGGAGAAAGGAGCUGUUUGUUAUAUCUGGUCAAAAUCCACAUGCAGCCUUGCAUAACUGAUCCUCUGCUCUGGCUGAUGUGUUUGACGUUUAGGGUUUUGUCAUCUUGUCUCUACCCUGGAGCUGCUAUUUCUGAAUACUGAAUUCUCCUCAAGUACUGUAACUGUGUUGUUUGAAAUGCUCUGUUUUUCUUAACAAAGUGUAGCAGGUGCUUUCUAGGGUGUGAGGCAGGGGUAGAGUUCCUUCUGGAGGACUUUGCCAUCAUUUGCAGUGAAAUGCAGUGAUAGCACAGUAAACCUUCCAAUAUUUUCAAUAAAAACAAAAUAUCUUUGAUACUA
rnacentral:lncRNA from 12 species